rnacentral:rRNA from 1 species
CCUGGCUCAGAAUACAACGACUAGGCGGCGUGCCUAACACAUGCAAGUCGAACGCGAAAGUGGAGCAAUCCAUGAGUAGAGUGGCAAACGGGUGAGUAACACGUGGGUGACCUGCCUUCGAGUGGGGGAUAACGUCCCGAAAGGGACGCUAAUACCGCAUAAUAUGCUGUCUUUUAAGAGAGAGACAUCAAAGCCGGGGACCGCAAGGCCUGGCGCUUGAAGAGGGGGACCCGCGCCUGAUUAGCUAGUUGGUGGGGUAAUGGCUCACCAAGGCAACGAUCAGUAUCCGGCCUGAGAGGGCGGACGGACACACUGGGACUGAGACACGGCCCAGACUCCUACGGGAGGCAGCAGUGGGGGAAUUGUUCGCAAUGGGCGCAAGCCUGACGACGCAACGCCGCGUGGAGGAUGAAGAUCUUCGGGUCGUAAACUCCUUUCGAUCGAGACGAAUGGCCCUUGGGGAUAAUACCCUGAGGGAGUGACGGUACCGAGAG